UACGUAGGGUGCAAGCGUUAAUCGGAAUUACUGGGCGUAAAGCGUGCGCAGGCGGUUUUGUAAGUCUGUCGUGAAAUCCCCGGGCUCAACCUGGGAAUUGCAUUUGAGACUGCGUAGCUAGGGUGCGGAAGAGGGAAGCGGAAUUUCCGGUGUAGCGGUGAAAUGCGUAGAUAUCGGAAGGAACACCAGUGGCGAAAGCGGCUUCCUGGUCCAGCACCGACGUCAGGCACGAAAGCGUGGGGAGCAAACAG
rnacentral:rRNA from 1 species